rnacentral:tRNA from 1 species
GCCCAGAUAGCUCAGUCGCUAGAGCAGGGGAUUGAAAAUCCCCGUGUCGGCGGUUCGAUUCCGUCUCUGGGCACCA